UGCCAGCAUACUAAGUAUGGUCAGAGGUCACU
rnacentral:piRNA from 1 species